GACAGCAGCAGCCGCGGGAAUACAGAGGGUGCGAGCGUUAAUCGGAUUUACUGGGCGUAAAGCGUGCGUAGGCGGCUUUUUAAGUCGGAUGUGAAAUCCCUGAGCUUAACUUAGGAAUUGCAUUCGAUACUGGGAAGCUAGAGUAUGGGAGAGGAUGGUAGAAUUCCAGGUGUAGCGGUGAAAUGCGUAGAGAUCUGGAGGAAUACCGAUGGCGAAGGCAGCCAUCUGGCCUAAUACUGACGCUGAGGUACGAAAGCAUGGGGAGCAAACAGGAUUAGAUACCCGAGUAGUCCCUGUCUCUUAUAC
rnacentral:rRNA from 1 species